GACGAACGCUGGCGGCGUGCCUAAUACAUGCAAGUCGAGCGAAGUUUUUCUGGUGCUUGCACUAGAAAAACUUAGCGGCGAACGGGUGAGUAACACGUAAAGAACCUGCCUCAUAGACUGGGACAACUAUUGGAAACGAUAGCUAAUACCGGAUAACAGUAUUUCUCGCAUGAGAGAUAUUUAAAAGUUGGUUAUGCUAACACUAUGAGGUGGCUUUGCGGUGCAUUAGCUAGUUGGCGGGGUAAAGGCCCACCAAGGCGACGAUGCAUAGCCGACCUGAGAGGGUGAUCGGCCACACUGGGACUGAGACACGGCCCAGACUCCUACGGGAGGCAGCAGUAGGGAAUCUUCCGCAAUGGGCGAAAGCCUGACGGAGCAACGCCGCGUGAGUGAAGAAGGAUUUCGGUUCGUAAAGCUCUGUUGUUAGGGAAGAAUGGAUAUGUAGUAACUAUACAUGUAAGAGACGGUACCUAACCAGAAAGCCACGGCUAACUACGUG
rnacentral:rRNA from 1 species